GCCCAAGGGGUUUCUCUCUGAGGGUGAAAGGCCUGUUGGGUGUGAAAUUCACAUGCAUGUGGAUUUCAAACAAAUGUCUUUUCUGUUUCAGCCCUAUUUUUGGUUUUGUGACAGAGAUGAUACAUUUGUUAACACAGGGACAGCUCUUCCCUGGUAGCACCUGCUGUUUGGGGCCGCCGGGACCUGGCCAUGACCUAGAACGCAGGGCUCUGUGGUCAGGUGGGAAAGGAAGGCCCUGACAGACCGCACCAGCCACUUGAAUGUAAAGGUUAUAUGACCUCAAUCCCAUGAAGGUUGUGGUUGUAUUUUCUGCAUUUCUGUGAAAAGGUAACUUUGUAGUAGUGGCCACUGGGCUCUUUCUGAUUGGAUGGGUGGAUAAAGUUAUCCAUUUCCAUGCAGGGGUUUUUGUCCUACUCUCUGUGUCAUUUUGUUACACAACUAGCUUGCCAGCCCCUGUUCCCACCGCCCUGUUCACAGGCAGACUGUGGCUUGUCAUGGGACAGGGUGGGACUUCCCUCUGCCAUCUGCAGCGAGGGAUGAAAUACAGGCGGGGCAAGGUGUUCUGAAGUGAGCAGGUGUGACCAUCAUGCCGACAGCACAGGAAAAUAUCAAGAUGACCUUGGCGGGAAUCAGGAAACGUCUGCAAGCAGACAUGCUCGGCCGUCUCAGUGAAUUUGCUGCAGAGCUCAGUCUUCUCUGCCCCCCGUGCAAUGAAAGUACAUGAGUGGAAACCAUUGAAAGAGCGCUUUGAGAACUUGUGCCUGACGUUGAGGAUACAGGGGUGCCCGGUGGAGGGAUGUAGAAUGUCUCACAAAAUGUACAGGCAAUAAGAUCAAAACAGACGAUGAGGUCAGAGCCAAGUGAAAAAGAAGAGAACUUCAAUCCUGUAGGAAGAAAACACCACUUCUAGAAACCACUUUCUAAUAUAUUCUAAGACAGAACGUCGGAAGUCAAAGACAUCUCAGGACAACGGUUCUCCAUCGGUAUUCUUGUGGAAAGCAUGUGUUCUACGGGUUGAACCAAGGUUUCUACUGUUAAAAUAAAACAAAGGCCUUUUCUCACGGCACACACAAUGUUGAGAAAAUGGAUAGAAACUGCUCAAUUUAAAAAGUUCCCGCAGCUACUUUUUCUUAAAUCUUUUGCACAUUCUAUGGCUUCUCUGCCAGAAAACACUUAAACUGAUACAGAAAGGAGGGAACAAGUACAAACCCUGAGCAGAAUCCCUUGGAAAUGGCUCAGGGAUGUCGUUUGACAGCUGGGUUUUCAUAGAGAGCUGUCUUCGUAGUUGUGAAUGUGUGUUGCGUACUUUCGAUAUUGACAUUCUUCUAAGCACUAAGAAGGAAAAAUCCUAGUUUUGAAAAUAGAGUUGAACAUCAAUCUUUGCUUAGGCUCUGUAACUUUCUGGUGGUUCACUCCCUAAAUAAUUUUAAGAACCCCUGUUUAAAUAAAUGACUCUACUGGAUAGUCAAAAACACGAAUUGAGGCAUUUUUUUCCAAGAC